rnacentral:tRNA from 1 species
GGCGUAGCGUGGUCGUAGCGCGUCGGGUUCAUACCCCUCGGAUGGCGCAGGAUCGAAUCCUGCCA